GGAAAACAUGCUUGAGCAGAUGCGUCAAAAGUAAAUGAGUUUUCACCCAGCUUCACAUCGGAGUAUUUCAUCGCCAGACUGGCAGUGAAACAAGCGUGUUGUCUGACCAAGCGGCCACAGCAGCACCUGCCCCCAGCCAGACAUCGAGAACGCUUUGGAUUAUAAGAGAAGUUUAAGCAAAGAUGGAUGCAUUUUUCACUCACUGCAAGUUCAGCAUCAGUUGAAGUGAACUUUGAUGAUGGAUUUAUCAAGACAGCAACAAAAACUGCUGCUCCAGAUCCUGUCUUCACAUUAAGAAGGCCAACAGCCUCCCUCUUCCAAGGAGUAGGAGAAGUUGCAGAGUAAAGGCACUUCUCCAGACAGAAAGAUGUACAAUCCACAGCAAAGAAUCAUGGAAGGAAAAGCAAGAGAACAGAAUGAGCACUCACACAGUGCAUUUUACACUUCAACUAAUCCUUUAAACACCUGGAAUAAAUUAAAUAGCCAAGGUCAUAAUUUGCUGCUGUCCUAGAAGCUACUUUCUCCUG